UCCUCGACCCCGCUGCUCGGCAGCGGCCGACUAGGAUUCCAGAGCAUCACCGAUGCCUCAUAUCAGCUCCUGUUCACCCGCCGCCUGUCCUGAUAAUGUGACCGACAUUGGUUGAGCUGAAGCUGGGAUCCAACCACUCUCACAAAACGCCGGUGUACGACGAGGACCAGGCCUGUGAGAACACUC